UACGGUGGGAGCAAGCGUUGUUCGGAUUUACUGGGCGUAAAGGGCGCGUAGGCGGUAGCACAAGUCAGUUGUGAAAUCUCCGGGCUUAACUCGGAAAGGUCAACUGAUACUGUGCGACUAGAGUGCAGUAGGGGCAACUGGAAUUCUCGGUGUAGCGGUGAAAUGCGUAGAUAUCGAGAGGAACACCUGCGGCGAAGGCGGGUUGCUGGGCUGACACUGACGCUGAGGCGCGAAAGCCAGGGGAGCGAACGGG
rnacentral:rRNA from 1 species